rnacentral:rRNA from 1 species
CUACGGGCCGCACCAGUGAGGAAUAUUGCACAAUGGGGGGAACCCUGAUGCAGCAACGCCGCGUGGAGGAUGACGCAUUUCGGUGUGUAAACUCCUUUUAUAUGUCAAGAAAAUGACGGUAGCAUAUGAAUAAGCACCGGCUAACUCCGUGCCAGCAGCCGCGGUACUAGCGGAGGGUGCAAGCGUUACUCGGAAUCACUGGGCGUAAAGGACGCGUAGGCGGGUUGGAAAGUCAGGUGUGAAAUCCUACAGCUUAACUGUAGAACUGCACUUGAAACUUCUAAUCUAGAGUAUGGGAGGGGGAGAUGGAAUUAGUGGUGUAGGGGUAAAAUCCGUAGAUAUCACUAGGAAUACCUAAAGCGAAGGCGAUCUCCUGGAACAUUACUGACGCUAAGGCGUGAAAGCGUGGGGAGCAAACAGGAUUAGAUACCCCAGUAGUC